ACAUUCUGGCUUCCCUUCAUAAUGUACAAGUCUUUUGCCUUUUACUAAAGACUUCUGUGCUUCUGUGGAGAGUGACACUAAGGAAUUGCACCCAUUUUUUGGCACGCUUGGGG
rnacentral:snRNA from 1 species